rnacentral:rRNA from 1 species
AGAGUUUGAUCCUGGCUCAGGAUGAACGCUGGCGGCGUGCCUAAUACAUGCAAGUCGAGCGGACUUGAUGGGAGCUUGCUCCCUGAUAGUCAGCGGCGGACGGGUGAGUAACACGUGGGCAACCUACCUUUAAGACUGGGAUAACUUCGGGAAACCGGAGCUAAUACCGGAUAAUAUGUAAGACCACAUGGUCUUACAUUAAAAGAUGGCUUCGGCUAUCACUUAUAGAUGGGCCCGCGGCGCAUUAGCUAGUUGGUGAGGUAACGGCUCACCAAGGCGACGAUGCGUAGCCGACCUGAGAGGGUGAUCGGCCACACUGGGACUGAGACACGGCCCAGACUCCUAUGGGAGGCAGCAGUAGGGAAUCUUCCGCAAUGGACGAAAGUCUGACGGAGCAACGCCGCGUGAACGAUGAAGGCUUUCGGGUCGUAAAGUUCUGUUGUUAGGGAAGAACAAGUACCAGAGUAACUGCUGGUACCUUGACGGUACCUAACCAGAAAGCCACGGCUAACUACGUGCCAGCAGCCGCGGUAAUACGUAGGUGGCAAGCGUUAUCCGGAAUUAUUGGGCGUAAAGCGCUCGCAGGCGGUCUUUUAAGUCUGAUGUGAAAGCCCACGGCUCAACCGUGGAGGGUCAUUGGAAACUGGGAGACUUGAGUGCAGAAGAGGAGAGUGGAAUUCCACGUGUAGCGGUGAAAUGCGUAGAGAUGUGGAGGAACACCAGUGGCGAAGGCGACUCUCUGGUCUGUAACUGACGCUGAGGAGCGAAAGCGUGGGGGAGCGAACAGGAUUAGAUACCCUGGUAGUCCACGCCGUAAACGAUGAGUGCUAAGUGUUAGAGGGUUUCCGCCCUUUAGUGCUGCAGCAAACGCAUUAAGCACUCCGCCUGGGGAGUACGGUCGCAAGACUGAAACUCAAAGGAAUUGACGGGGGCCCGCACAAGCGGUGGAGCAUGUGGUUUAAUUCGAAGCAACGCGAAGAACCUUACCAGGUCUUGACAUCCUUAUGCCUUCCCUAGAGAUAGGGCUUUCCCUUCGGGGACAUAAGUGACAGGUGGUGCAUGGUUGUCGUCAGCUCGUGUCGUGAGAUGUUGGGUUAAGUCCCGCAACGAGCGCAACCCUUGAUCUUAGUUGCCAGCAUUUAGUUGGGCACUCUAAGGUGACUGCCGGUGACAAACCGGAGGAAGGUGGGGAUGACGUCAAAUCAUCAUGCCCCUUAUGACCUGGGCUACACACGUGCUACAAUGGAUGGUACAAAGGGCAGCGAAACCGCGAGGUUAAGCGAAUCCCAUAAAACCAUUCUCAGUUCGGAUUGCAGGCUGCAACUCGCCUGCAUGAAGCUGGAAUCGCUAGUAAUCGCGGAUCAGCAUGCCGCGGUGAAUACGUUCCCGGGCCUUGUACACACCGCCCGUCACACCACGAGAGUUUGUAACACCCGAAGUCGGUGGGGUAACCGUAAGGAGCCAGCCGCCUAAGGUGGGACAGAUGAUUGGGGUGAAGUCGUAACAAGGUAGCCG